GCUCACUUCAUAAAACAAAAUAUUUACAACACAAAAGAUAUAGGAAAGUGGAAGGGCAAAAUAGUAGCAAAAAAGAGAGUGGAACUUGUCUCAAAUUCAGGCUUACUCCUUCCGUUCUUGUUCAUCUCUCAAAUGCCAUUUUGAUUCAUCUUCAAGGGAUAGGACUGCUCAUGGCUACUGGUAAAACAACAACUUGUUGGUGUGGGUUACUGAAUUAAUAGUAAUGGAUAGAUCAUCUUCACUGUUAGCACUACAUUGAUACUCCACACUCCCGAAAAUGGGUAUCUAAAGGUUUUUCAAGACUCUGAAUCCUCGGUUGUUCACUUAUUGAGUUGGCAUCCUUCCUUUGUGUAGGAAGUUCUUGCUUCCCAAAAGUUUGUAACACCCAUUCCUUUCUAGACUUCACAUGCUUACUCGGUUGAUCAGUUAUAUCCUCAUGCUAACUUGUUGAUUCUUGAUUCUCAUCAUUGUUUGAUCUGAUUGCUUGUGGAUCAUCCAACAAAGCUGCAAACCUGUUAGUAUUUUGAAUAGAAGUAUCAACUACUUGUUUGUUGGCUUUACACCCAACCACCUUCCACGCUCUUGGAUAGCCUAUUACUUUUUCACUAGACAAGAUUUUAACUUUUCCUUUUUGAA